rnacentral:tRNA from 2 species
GGAGAAGUGGCCGAGUGGCUGAAGGCGGCGCCCUGCUAAGGCGUUAGGUGGGGAAAAUCCCUGCCUCGAGGGUUCGAAUCCCUCCUUCUCCGCCU